rnacentral:ribozyme from 1 species
AAGUUUUUUUUUUUUUUUUUUUUUUUUUUUUUUUUUUUUUCUUGUC